rnacentral:lncRNA from 1 species
GCUUUUUACCCUUGCCCCUUUAUUCUUUCUUCUUACUCUUCUCCAUCUUUUUUGUCAGAAACCUGGAUGAAAUGCCUGGAGAUGAUGCAGCCAUUUUGCAAAGAUGAAGCAAAAAAGUCACCAUCUAGGGCUGGCGGGGCAGAAAGCUGCAAAGAUCCAUCAAGAACAGCUGACUGGCUUAAUUCCAGACUUCUUGUUAUGGCCAGGACCAGGACAUCUGUAUUUUACCAGCCCUCCCUGGGAUUAAAAGUUGAGGCUUCCACGCUCUUCACUGAUGGACUGCUUCAUACAUGACUCACAGACAGCACAGUGGAUCUGAAUUUUGGACCAUACUGUGAGCCUGAGCUGUAGCAGCUGGGGCAGCGACACAUGUAAGUUUCACAAAAGUAGUGUUGGUGGAAAUGGAAUGAGAGAAUUCUGUAUGUGAACUCCUGAAAUAGAC